CCUUCGAUAGCUCAGUUGGUAGAGCGGUGGACUGUAGAAGAGACUCCAGUAAGUCAAUAGAGUAAUCCAUAGGUCACUGGUUCAAAUCCGGUUCGAAGGA
rnacentral:tRNA from 1 species